rnacentral:lncRNA from 7 species
CGUGGAUAUGGAAUAAUUCAGUAGAACUAGAGCCAGCAAAAGCCCCUUCAGCUUCUCCAGCCACUAAAAAAACAGCAGCACCAGUUUUCAAGAAGAACUCCUAAGCAAAAGAAAAACAGAAAACCCCAAGAAACCAACCAAGACUCUUCUUUCACAGAAUGAGUCCUAAAAUACCUGUAUGGAAUUGGAUACUCUGAAGAGUGCUUGGGCUACACAAAACAAUGGCCACAGCUUAUUAUUAAGAUUACACUCAGUGAGUCAGCCAAACCAAUGAGUUCCAAACUUCUGUCCUCUCACUUUUUGCUUCUUCUCCUCCUUGGCUUCUACUAGGAUUGCCACCCAAGCUAGGACAUCAUGAGAAAAAUAUAAGAUUUAUCCAGAUAAUGAACUACUUAGUGCCAACGCAUUCUCCCUGCUCCAUGUAUUCAUAUUGCUGGGAAAAUCAUAUUCCCAGCUUGUUGCUCAGCUGCAGCAACCCGAAGCACAAACUUUUCCAUUGACCCUCCUGUCAUAUACACAACGUGUCUGUAAAGCACCAAAGGUAAUUCAAUAUAAGGCACAUUAUGUAAUAAAUAUAUUAAAAUGUGCCUUAUAUAACGAUAUAGGAGCUGGGUCCCCAAUUUCAGGCAACUAGUCUUUGUGCUUUGAAGUACAGAUUUUGACUCACUAAAAUUGCUUAUGUCAUGACAUUACGGCAGUAUUUUUGGUAAAAGGACAGAAUGAAAAUCUUUUGUGUUUAUUUUUGUUGCAGUUUGUUUGUGUUGUUUUGGUUUGGUUUUUUGUUACAUCACAAAACAAACCACUAUCUAGAGGCUAUAUUUUGCUUUAAAAAAUAUAUAUGCUGGCUUUUCAGAUAGAUUUAAAAACGGAAAAGAAAUGAAUAUUGCUUUGCAGAUUGAACAUGCUUUACAUAAUACAAAUGUACUGUGAGUAGGAGUAUGCAGUAAUGACACAUUGCAUUUAAAAACUUAACAGUUUUGUUUUUUCAUAAUUGGUAUCAGCCUGCCUUUACAAAUGUCAAUUAUUUUCAUAGCUCUGCAUGAUGUUUGUUUCUUUUAGAUGUCCACUGUACUUUAAAUAUUAAUAUCAAAUAUCAAUAUCAAAAUAAUAUUGAACAUGAAUUAAUAUUGAAUGUAAAUCCUAUUCAUAUGAAUAUGCUAUUGGUCAAAAUACUGUAUUUUCUAUUAAAAUUAUUUUUUGCUUAUUCAGUUCAAGGAUAAGUCAUAUUUAAGCAUAGGCUUUAUAUUAUUGAAGUACAGCGUAGUAUAUUUUGCAUAUGGAAUUUAUAUCUUGAUUCUAGAGUUGAAGUGAUUAAGGCAGUAAUACUCCCUGGCUGUAUACUAUAGC